GAGAGCGUGUGUGUGUUUGCUGAGGGAGGCACGGAUCAGAGACGGAGGGACGUACGGGAGAUCAGCGGGUUCAGAGAGUGUGUUUGUGCUGGAUGCUGGUCGUCGUGGCGAUGGGAGUAACGACCCAGAGUGCAGCUGGAUGCUGAUGAGUGACAUCAGUGGAUUUUGCGUAUGUGGCCUGUGACAAGAACACGCGUGUGUUGAAAUGCCACGUGUUUCAAUGUGACAGUCCUGCGGAAAGCGUCGCCAGCAGCCUGAAGCAGAUCUGCUCGAAGAUUAUGGCUGAACGCAG